rnacentral:rRNA from 1 species
GGGUUGUGAGGUUAAGCGACUAAGCGUACACGGUGGAUGCCCGGCAGUCAGAGGCGAUGAAGGACGUGCUAAUCUGCGAUAAGCGUCGGUGAGGUGAUAUGAACCGUUAUAACCGGCGAUUUCCGAAUGGGGAAACCCAGUGUGUUUCGACACACUAUCAUUAACUGAAUCCAUAGGUUAAUGAGGCGAACCGGGGAACUGAAACAUCUAAGUACCCCGAGGAAAAGAAAUCAACCGAGAUUCCCCAGUAGCGGCGAGCGAACGGGGAGGAGCCCAGAGCCUGAAUCAGUGUGUGUGUUAGUGGAAGCGUCUGGAAAGGCGCGCGAUACAGGGUGACAGCCCGUACACAAAAAAAAAAAAUGCACAUACUGUGAGCUCGAUGAGUAGGGCGGGACACGUGGUAUCCUGUCUGAAUAUGGGGGACCAUCCUCCAAGGCUAAAUACUCCUGACUGACCGAUAGUGAACCAGUACCGUGAGGGAAAGGCGAAAAGAACCCCGGCGAGGGGAGAAAAAGAACCUGAAACCGUGUACGUACAAGCAGUGGGAGCCUCUUAAUGGGGUGACUGCGUACCUUUUUGUAUAAUGGGUCAGCGACUUAUAUUCUGUAGCAAGGUUAACCGAAUAGGGGAGCCGAAGGGAAACCGAGUCUUAACUGGGCGUUAAGUUGCAGGGUAUAGACCCGAAACCCGGUGAUCUAGCCAUGGGCAGGUUGAAGGUUGGGUAACACUAACUGGAGGACCGAACCGACUAAUGUUGAAAAAUUAGCGGAUGACUUGUGGCUGGGGGGUGAAAGGCCAAUCAAACCGGGAGAUAGCUGGUUCUCCCCGAAAGCUAUUUAGGUAGCGCCUCGUGAAUUCAUCUCCGGGGUAGAGCACUGUUUCGGCAAGGGGGGGUCAUCCCGACUUACCAACCCGAUGCAAACUGCGAAUACCGGAGAAUGUUAUCACGGGAGACACACGGCGGGUGCUAACGUCCGUCGUGAAGAGGGAAACAACCCAGACCGCCAGCUAAGGUCCCAAAGUCAUGGUUAAGUGGGAAACGAUGUGGGGAAGGCCCAGACAGCCGGGAUGUUGGCUUAGAAGCAGCCAUCAUUUAAAGAAAGCGUAAUAGCUCACUGGUCGAGUCGGCCUGCGCGGAAGAUGUAACGGGCUAAACCAUGCACCGAAGCUGCGGCAGCGACGCUUAUGCGUUGUUGGGUAGGGGAGCGUUCUGUAAGCCUGUGAAGGUGGCCUGUGAGGGUUGCUGGAGGUAUCAGAAGUGCGAAUGCUGACAUAAGUAACGAUAAAGCGGGUGAAAAGCCCGCUCGCCGGAAGACCAAGGGUUCCUGUCCAACGUUAAUCAGGGCAGGGUGAGUCGACCCCUAAGGCGAGGCCCGAAAGGCGUAGUCGAUGGGAAACAGGUUAAUAUUCCUGUACUUGGUGUUACCGCGAAGGGGGGGACGGAGAAGGCUAUGUUGGCCGGGCGACGGUUGUCCCGGUUUAAGCGUGUAGGCUGGUUUUCCGUGCAAAUCCGGAAAACCAAGGCUGAGGCGUGAUGACGAGGCACUACGGUGCUGAAGCGACAAAUGCCCUGCUUCCGUGAAAAGCCUCUAAGCAUCAGGUAACAUUAAAUCGUACCCCAAACCGACACAGGUGGUCAGGUAGAGAAUACCAAGGCGCUUGAGAGAACUCGGGUGAAGGAACUAGGCAAAAUGGUGCCGUAACUUCGGGAGAAGGCACGCUGAUAUGUAGGUGAAGCGACUUGCUCGUGGAGCUGAAAUCAGUCGAAGAUACCAGCUGGCUGCAACUGUUUAUUAAAAAACACAGCACUGUGCAAACACGAAAGUGGACGUAUACGGUGUGACGCCUGCCCGGUGCCGGAAGGUUAAUUGAUGGGGUUAGCGGUAACGCGAAGCUCUUGAUCGAAGCCCCGGUAAACGGCGGCCGUAACUAUAACGGUCCUAAGGUAGCGAAAUUCCUUGUCGGGUAAGUUCCGACCUGCACGAAUGGCGUAAUGAUGGCGGGCUGUCUCCACCCGAGACUCAGUGAAAUUGAACUCGCUGUGAAGAUGCAGUGUACCCGCGGCAAGACGGAAAGACCCCGUGAACCUUUACUAUAGCUUGACACUGAACAUUGAGCCUUGAUGUGUAGGAUAGGUGGGAGGCUUUGAAGUGUGGACGCCAGUCUGCAUGGAGCCGACCUUGAAAUACCACCCUUUAAUGUUUGAUGUUCUAACGUGGGCCCUUACCGGGGUUGCGGACAGUGUCUGGUGGGUAGUUUGACUGGGGCGGUCUCCUCCUAAAGAGUAACGGAGGAGCACGAAGGUUGGCUAAUCCCCGUCGGACAUCAGGAGGUUAGUGCAAUGGCAUAAGCCAGCUUGACUGCGAGCGUGACGGCGCGAGCAGGUGCGAAAGCAGGUCAUAGUGAUCCGGUGGUUCUGAAUGGAAGGGCCAUCGCUCAACGGAUAAAAGGUACUCCGGGGAUAACAGGCUGAUACCGCCCAAGAGUUCAUAUCGACGGCGGUGUUUGGCACCUCGAUGUCGGCUCAUCACAUCCCUCGGGCUGAAGUAGGUCCCAAGGGUAUGGCUGUUCGCCAUUUAAAGUGGUACGCGAGCUGGGUUUAGAACGUCGUGAGACAGUUCGGUCCCUAUCUGCCGUGGGCGCUGGAGAACUGAGGGGGGCUGCUCCUAGUACGAGAGGACCGGAGUGGACGCAUCACUGGUGUUCGGGUUGUCAUGCCAAUGGCACUGCCCGGUAGCUAAAUGCGGAAGAGAUAAGUGCUGAAAGCAUCUAAGCACGAAACUUGCCCCGAGAUGAGUUCUCCUGACUCCUUGAGAGUCCUGAAGGAACGUUGAAGACGACGACGUUGAUAGGCCGGGUGUGUAAGCGCAGCGAUGCGUUGAGCUAACCGGUACUAAUGAACCGUGAGGCUUAACCUUACAACGCCGAAGGUGUUU